rnacentral:rRNA from 1 species
GGAUGCAGCAGUAAGGAAUAUUGGUCAAUGGACGCAAGUCUGAACCAGCUAUGCCGCGUGAAGGAUUAAGGUCCUCUGGAUUGUAAACUUCUUUUAUCUGGGACGAAAAAAGGUCUUUCUAGAUCACUUGACGGUACCAGAUGAAUAAGCACCGGCUAACUCCGUGCCAGCAGCCGCGGUAAUACGGAGGGUGCAAGCGUUAUCCGGAUUCACUGGGUUUAAAGGGUGCGUAGGCGGGCAGGUAAGUCAGUGGUGAAAUCCUGGAGCUCAACUCCAGAACUGCCAUUGAUACUAUCUGUCUUGAAUAUUGUGGAGGUAAGCGGAAUAUGUCAUGUAGCGGUGAAAUGCUUAGAUAUGACAUAGAACACCCAUUGCGAAGGCAGCUUACUACGCAUAUAUUGACGCUGAGGCACGAAAGCGUGGGGAUCAAACAGGAUUAGAUACCCC